GAUGAACGCUGGCGGCGUGCCUAAUACAUGCAAGUCGAGCGAACGGACGAGAAGCUUGCUUCUCUGAUGUUAGCGGCGGACGGGUGAGUAACACGUGGAUAACCUACCUAUAAGACUGGGAUAACUUCGGGAAACCGGAGCUAAUACCGGAUAAUAUUUUGAACCGCAUGGUUCAAAAGUGAAAGACGGUCUUGCUGUCACUUAUAGCUGGAUCCGGGCUGCAUUAGCUAGUUGGUAAGGUAACGGCUUACUAAGGCAACGAUGCGUUGCCGACCUGAGUGAGGGGUAGCCGACCUGGGAGCGGGAACGGCGACAAGGCGACUACGGGAGGCAGCAGUAGGGAAUGGUACGCAACAGGCGGGAGUCUGACGGAGCAACGCGGAGUCAGUGACGGCAGCCUUCGGUGCGUAAUGAUCUGUUAUGAGGGAAAAACAUAUUUGGAAUGUAACGAAGACAGAGUGACGGUACCUGGUCAGAAAGCAACGGCUAACUACGUG
rnacentral:rRNA from 1 species